rnacentral:lncRNA from 1 species
AAAAUAUUCUUGUCAUUGUCAAAUAUUAAGUUUUGUAACGACAUCUAAAUAUCAUUGUCGAUGUCGCAAGACCCAUAUGCUAGCUCUAUUUUUUAAACUCUUGUCACCAUUGCUUCAUGUCUGAAUCAAAACCUCCUCUCCUCCUCUCUUUCUCUUAGAUGAUCACCACCAUUAUAAAUGACACCCCUUCUUUCUCAAUCUUGCUUCCUUGUGCGACCAAUAGUUCUUUACCACGCAAGUUCUCUCUCCGACCUCCAACAAUUACCUAUGGCAUCGAGCUCUCCCUCCAACCUCCCUUCUUGCCUUCACCUCCUACCUCCCUC